UGGUAGUCCAUGCCGUAAACGUUGGGCACUAGGUGUGGGGGACAUUCCACGUUCUCCGCGCCGUAGCUAACGCAUUAAGUGCCCCGCCUGGGGAGUACGGCCGCAAGGCUAAAACUCAAAGGAAUUGACGGGGGCCCGCACAAGCGGCGGAGCAUGCGGAUUAAUUCGAUGCAACGCGAAGAACCUUACCAAGGCUUGACAUUCACCGGACCGCCUCAGAGAUGGGGUUUCCCUUCGGGGUCGGUGGACAGGUGGUGCAUGGUUGUCGUCAGCUCGUGUCGUGAGAUGUUGGGUUAAGUCCCGCAACGAGCGCAACCCUCGUUCUAUGUUGCCAGCACGUGAUGGUGGGGACUCAUAGGAGACUGCCGGGGUCAACUCGGAGGAAGGUGGGGAUGACGUCAAAUCAUCAUGCCCCUUAUGUCUUGGGCUUCACGCAUGCUACAAUGGCCGGUACAAAGGGUUGCGAUACUGUGAGGUGGAGCUAAUCCCAAAAAGCCGGUCUCAGUUCGGAUUGAGGUCUGCAACUCGACCUCAUGAAGUCGGAGUCGCUAGUAAUCGCAGAUCAGCAACGCUGCGGUGAAUACGUUCCCGGGCCUUGUACACACCGCCCGUCAAGUCACGAAAGUUGGUAACACCCGAAGCCGGUGGCCUAACCCCUUGUGGGAGGGAGCCGUCGAAGGUGGGACUGGCGAUUGGGACUAAGUCGUAACAAGGUAGCCGUAAGCUUGGAUCCCGGG
rnacentral:rRNA from 1 species